rnacentral:lncRNA from 1 species
GAAGUUAUAAUAAGAUGGACAGGGAAGUAAAUCCAUCAGUGUCGUCUGUACAAGACAAACCAAAUAGUACUCGCCAGACCAUGCCGUUUUUCAUUUACAAUAGUCAUUCAUUAGACACUGACUUGGCCCUUCAGCUCUGAGUUAGCAUGAACAAAUGCUGUUAAUUUCGCCGAAGUACAUUGGUUGCUGGAUGAUCUUCUAUCAUGUACAACUUAUAGUACAUUGAAUUAAAAAUAUCCUCUGAGCCAG